GUGGUCGGUGUACAGGUGGUGCAUGGCUGUCGUCAGCUCGUGUCGUGAGAUGUUGGGUUAAGUCCCGCAACGAGCGCAACCCUUGUCUUAUGUUGCCAGCACGUGAUGGUGGGGACUCGUAAGAGACUGCCGGGGUCAACUCGGAGGAAGGUGGGGACGACGUCAAGUCAUCAUGCCCCUUAUGUCCAGGGCUUCACACAUGCUACAAUGGCCAGUACAGAGGGCUGCGAGACCGUGAGGUGGAGCGAAUCCCUUAAAGCUGGUCUCAGUUCGGAUCGGGGUCUGCAACUCGACCCCGUGAAGUCGGAGUCGCUAGUAAUCGCAGAUCAGCAACGCUGCGGUGAAUACGUUCCCGGGCCUUGUACACACCGCCCGUCACGUCAUGAAAGUCGGUAACACCCGAAGCCGGUGGCCUAACCCCUUGUGGGAGGGAGCCGUCGAAGGUGGGAUCGGCGAUUGGGACGAAGUCGUAACAAGGUAACC
rnacentral:rRNA from 1 species